rnacentral:lncRNA from 1 species
CCCUGUCUCUUCCUGUAGACUGUGGUAUCAGAGCCCAAGGCAUGCACAGAGGCAAGUUUCCCAGGUAUGUGUUACUUUAUAACCACUUCAAAUAAGAGGCCAUUCCAGCUGACAGCAGCCUAAAAAGAAUGUGUUUCUGGUAAAUUAAAGGAGGGCCACUGAUCGGUGAAGGUAAACAGGUGAUGAAAUUCCUCAUUAGUACCUCAUUCGUAAUUCUCCUCUCCUGAAGUAGCUGACACAGAGUGAGGCCUGGAGUCGCGGCUGCUCAGAAGUGCGGGCUGUGGGGGUCACAGGGCGGCUUCAUCAUGGCCAGGGAGAGCGCCGCCUGCCUCGGUGUCAGCCACCGCGCCGAUAGCGGACACCAGGCAGGAUCUGCUCUUCCUCAAGAUGCAGCCACACAUUUUGAAGUCAUUGGGAGGUGAGCGCGAGCUCCUGGCCUCCGGGGUGCAGUCAUUUCCCACGUCGUCCGGCCCAGGAGGGCUUCAAGCUGUGCGCCCAGGGGUUGAAGGAAGAAGGUGCAGGACCCCCACAGUCUAACACCUGGAUGCCUGAGUUUCUCUCCCUACGGGGAAGUAAACUGCGAUUUGCCCAAGGAGCCACUCAGGACAGGUCCAGCGAAGGGGCUGUGGGGGCGCGGAGCCCAGUCAUUACUCCACUGCAGAAUGCUUGGCGGAGUCACCAGCCAAUCACCCAAACCGGUGUCACCUUGCCUGAGAAGGUUCAUUGAAAUGAAGCUCUUUCUAAUGGAGGCUUUCUCUACCAGGGCCUGGCAAAGCUCUGUUUCUUUUUCCUGUUCUUUCAAAACCCCACGUGGCUUUCCAAUAUCCUUUUAACAUUUUGGUCUUUGCAAGAGCACUUUUUGUCACAGACUGGCGUGGAUUCGACCCACGGAACGCGCAUCUGAAGGAGGCGUCAGCUCUUCAGGCGGUUUUGAAGUCCAGCACCCUGAACCCACACCCCGCUGCGGGAGCCCUGCUGCGCAGCACGCAUGCCUUCCCUGUUCAGAACGCCGUUUUGCAUCAGCGGGAGCGCCCAUAUGCAACAGGUCCAGAAUAUUUAGUCCCUCUUGCCAUCUGUACAUAGGCCUCUACUGGAAAUAUCUCACCUUCAGGCGCUCCCCCCUCGCCCCAACGUGCUGACCCGUCUGUGCUCUGGUAAUCAUAAGGUGUGUUGAAAUCUAUGUCAGGAUUUCCUCCAUUCGCAAACAGGCAGUCAGGCAGAGGUGGCGCUGUGAAGCUCGCAUUUAUCCCGCUGGAUUUUUAAAAGUAACCCUUUCCCCAGACGCAGCCUGUUUGUUAUAAAUCUUUUCAAGGAGCCAGCCACAUGACAGAGAAUGCCGACAUGAACCUACUGUUAUCUCAGAUUUAUCACAAAGGAAAAAGAUCCAUUUCAGGAUUAAUAAUAGGUGCUAAUGCAUUGAAUUAAGUACAGAUUUUGCUUUCUUAAGGAAUCUUCAAAGCUACUUUUCACAAAUCUAAGCACAAGGAAGAUUUAACACAUUCCUACUCCGUCCUGCAAGGUAGAAUAAAUCCAAGCAAUCCAUACAUGAUAAACGACUCUGUGGUAUAAGGGCAUGAGCACCACUGUUUCUGAUUUAUUCUUCUGCUUGGUAGCUUUCUCAACAGAUCUGAUGAACCUCUGUUCCUUGUGGCCUGUGUUUAUGCAUACACAAUUCCGUUUGGUGAUAUAGAAAACAUACUUCUUGAAAUAAAGGAAAAUUGCAGACUCC